rnacentral:rRNA from 1 species
UACGUAGGGUGCGAGCGUUAAUCGGAAUUACUGGGCGUAAAGCGCACGUAGGCGGAUUCGUAAGUCAGGGGUGAAAUCCCGGGGCUCAACCUCGGAACUGCCUUUGAUACUGCGGAUCUCGAGUCCGAUAGAGGUGGGUGGAAUUCCUAGUGUAGAGGUGAAAUUCGUAGAUAUUAGGAAGAACACCGGUGGCGAAGGCGGCCCACUGGAUCGGUACUGACGCUGAGGUGCGAAAGCGUGGGGAGCAAACAGG